ensembl:lncRNA
GCUGGGUUAAAGGCACUGCUGGGAUUUGAACCCAGGAUCUCCUGUUUACUAGACAGGCACUUUGACCAACUAAGCCACAGCGCCUCUACUUGAAGCGUUUAAACCAAAAACGAGUUGAACUUCUUUUCAAAAAAGUUUUAAUUAUGAAAAUGAAGUCAAAACACUGGGUUAACGGCACUGCUGGGAUUUGAACCCAGGAUCUCCUGUUUACUAGACAGGCACUUUGACCAACUAAGCCACAGAGCCUCUACUUGAAGCGUUUAAACCAAAAACGAGUUGAACUUCUUUUCAAAAAAGUUUUAAUUAUGAAAAUGAAGUGAAAACAGUGUGUUAGAGGCACUGCUGGGAUUUGAACCCAGGAUCUCCUGUUUACUAGACAGGCACUUUGACCAACUAAUCCACAGAGCCUCUACUUGAAGCGUUUAAACCAAAAACGAGUUGAACUUCUUUUCAAAAAAUUUUAAUUAUGAAAAUGAAGUGAAAACACCAGGUUAAAGGCACUGCUGGGAUUUGAACCCAGGAUCUCCUGUUUACUAGACAGGCACUUUGACCAACUAAUCCACAGAGCCUCUACUUGAAGCGUUUAAACCAAAAACGAGUUGAACUUCUUUUCAAAAAAGUUUUAAUUAUGAAAAUGAAGUCCAAACACUGGGUUAAAGGCACUGCUGGGAUUUGAACCUAGGAAUUCCUGUAUACUAGACAGGCACUUUGACCAUCUAAGCCACAGCGCCUCUACUUGAAGCUGUUAAACCCAAAACGAGUUGAAUACCUUUUCAAAAAAGUUUUAAUCAGAAAAAUGAAGUCAAAACACUGGGUUAAAGGCACUGCUGGGAUUUGAACCCAGGAUCUCCUGUUUACUAGACAGGCACUUUGACCAUCUAAGCCACAGCGCCUCUACUUGAAGCUGUUAAACCCAAAACGAGUUGAACUUCUUUUCAAAAAAGUUUUAAUUAUGAAAAUGAAGUGAAAACACUGGGUUAUAAAGGCACUGCUGGGAU